AUAAAAUAUUGAACCAUUUAUAGCAACAGCUUACUGAUUGUUUCAAGUGGAGUCGGAAAAGUGGAAAUUUAAAAGAUGAAUUCUUUCAACUUGGAAUUGGUAGCAAUUCUUGUUCUUUCAAUAUCUUUAUUGCAUGCAACUGAAGGACAGCCAGCUCCUCGUGUUACAAGAUUAGAAAUCAUAAGUCAUUCAUGCAAUGGAAGAAAUCCUGUCUUUUAUUAUGUCCAGAAGGGAUAUGCAACGCAUACAUCAAAAGCUUGGGAUGGUUCUAGUGCCUCACGGGAUUGUAAUUGGGUUCAUAUAUACACUAAUUGGAGAAGGAUAGUUACUGGAUGGAUAUCUAAAUGCGAAAACAGGAAUAUCUGUUCUACUACUCUCAAACUCAGCAAUGGAAGGUUAUGGGAUCGACAGUUUCAAGACUGUUGCAAUGUACGCUAAAAUCAAAUAGCUUUCCUUCCAAUUGAAAUUUCGGAUGAAGAAUGUAAACUCUGUUUAAAAUAAUACAUACAUAUACACUAAAGUUCAAUGUCACUUUCAAAUACCUACAAAUGUUUUCUUAAAUUUGUUAGUUGAAAUUUAAAGGAUGAAAAACUGUUGCAACUGUCAUAUGCAUAAUAAAUGCAAUACUUCUUA